CUGCGGGUGCUACCACGCAAGUCGAGCGAGAAAGCCCGCAAGGGUGAGUAAAGCGGCGCACGGGUGCGUAACACGUGGGUAAUCUGCCCUGAAGUCCGGAAUAACUCGCCGAAAGGCGUGCUAAUGCCGGAUAAGACCACGGGAACCUCGGUUCCUGCGGGAAAAGGUGGCCUCUGUACACAAGCUAUCACUUCAGGAUGAGCCCGCGGCCCAUCAGCUAGUUGGCGGGGUAACGGCCCACCAAGGCUACGACGGGUAGCUGGUCUAAGAGGACGAUCAGCCACACUGGAACUGAGACACGGUCCAGACUCCUACGGGAGGCAGCAGUGGGGAAUCUUGCGCAAUGGGCGAAAGCCUGACGCAGCAACGCCGCGUGUGUGAUGAAGGUCUUCGGAUCGUAAAGCACUGUCGGGAGGGACGAAUAAGGCCGGCGCUAACAUCGCCGGACGAUGACGGUACCUCCAAAGGAAGCACCGGCUAACUCUGUGCCAGCAGCCGCGGUAAUACAGAGGGUGCAAGCGUUGUUCGGAAUUAUUGGGCGUAAAGCGCGUGUAGGCGGUUCAGCAAGUCGGAUGUGAAAGCCCUCGGCUUAACCGAGGAAGGGCGUUCGAAACUACUGAACUUGAGUGCCGGAGAGGGUGGCGGAAUUCCCGGUGUAGAGGUGAAAUUCGUAGAUAUCGGGAGGAACACCAGCGGCGAAGGCGGCCACCCGGACGGUAACUGACGCUGAGACGCGAAAGCGUGGGGAGCAAACAGGAUUAGAUACCCUGGU
rnacentral:rRNA from 1 species